rnacentral:rRNA from 1 species
AGAGUUUGAUCCUGGCUCAGAACGAACGCUGGCGGCGUGCCUAACACAUGCAAGUCGAACGGGAUUAAGGGGCUUGCCUCUUAAUUUAGUGGCGCACGGGUGAGUAACGCGUGGAUAACCUGCCCUGGUAUCCGGGAUAACAUCUCGAAAGGGGUGCUAAUACGGGAUAAGCCCACGGGGUCUUCGGACCUUGCGGGAAAAGGUGGCCUCUGAAUAUGCUGCCGUAUCAGGAUGGGUCCGCGUACCAUUAGCUAGUUGGUAGUGUAAUGGACUACCAAGGCUACGAUGGUUAGCUGGUCUGAGAGGAUGAUCGGCCACACUGGAACUGAGACACGGUCCAGACUCCUACGGGAGGCAGCAGUGGGGAAUUUUGCGCAAUGGGGGAAACCCUGACGCAGCAACGCCGCGUGAGUGAUGAAGGCCUUCGGGUCGUAAAGCUCUGUCAGAGGGAAAGAAGUGUAGCAUGGUUAAUACCCAUACUACUUGACGGUACCCUCAAAGGAAGCACCGGCUAACUCCGUGCCAGCAGCCGCGGUAAUAC